AGUGAACGCUGGCGGUAGGCCUAACACAUGCAAGUCGAACGGCAGCACAGGAGAGCUUGCUCUCUGGGUGGCGAGUGGCGGACGGGUGAGGAAUACAUCGGAAUCUACUUUUUCGUGGGGGAUAACGUAGGGAAACUUACGCUAAUACCGCAUACGACCUACGGGUGAAAGCAGGGAACCUUCGGGCCUUGCGCGAUUGAAUGAGCCGAUGUCGGAUUAGCUAGUUGGCGGGGUAAAGGCCCACCAAGGCGACGAUCCGUAGCUGGUCUGAGAGGAUGAUCAGCCACACUGGAACUGAGACACGGUCCAGACUCCUACGGGAGGCAGCAGUGGGGAAUAUUGGACAAUGGGCGCAAGCCUGAUCCAGCCAUACCGCGUGGGUGAAGAAGGCCUUCGGGUUGUAAAGCCCUUUUGUUGGGAAAGAAAUCCAGCCGGCUAAUACCUGGUUGGGAUGACGGUACCCAAAGAAUAAGCACCGGCUAACUUCGUGCCAGCCGCCGCAGUAA
rnacentral:rRNA from 1 species